AUUGAACGCUGGCGGCAUGCCUUACACAUGCAAGUCGAACGGUAACAGGUCUCCGGAUGCUGACGAGUGGCGAACGGGUGAGUAAUGCAUCGGAACGUGCCCAGUCGUGGGGGAUAACGCAGCGAAAGCUGCGCUAAUACCGCAUACGAUCUAUGGAUGAAAGCGGGGGACCGUAAGGCCUCGCGCGAUUGGAGCGGCCGAUGUCAGAUUAGGUAGUUGGUGGGGUAAAGGCUCACCAAGCCAACGAUCUGUAGCUGGUCUGAGAGGACGACCAGCCACACUGGGACUGAGACACGGCCCAGACUCCUACGGGAGGCAGCAGUGGGGAAUUUUGGACAAUGGGCGCAAGCCUGAUCCAGCAAUGCCGCGUGCAGGAAGAAGGCCUUCGGGUUGUAAACUGCUUUUGUACGGAACGAAACGGUCCGGGUUAAUACCCUGGGCUAAUGACGGUACCGUAAGAAUAAGCACCGGCUAACUACGUGCCAGCCGCCGCAGUAACAC
rnacentral:rRNA from 1 species